AGAAAUUUAGGUUAAUAGUAAACCAAAAACCUUCAAAGUUUUAAAUAGAAGUGAAAAUCUCCUAAUUUCUG
rnacentral:tRNA from 1 species